GCACUCACUUUGGCAGCACAUAUAUUAAAGUUGGAGUGAUACAGAGAAAAUUAGCAUGGCCCUUGUGCAAAGAUGACAAGCAAAUUCAUGAAGCAUUCCAUAAAAAA
ensembl:snRNA U6 U6 spliceosomal RNA